UGGUCUUCACUUGGUGGAAGAACACACUCACAGAGCCUCACCUAGCGCGCUCUUGGCUACAUCUCUGGAAGGAUGGGGUGGUGGUAGCUUCCUAGGAAAGGUGGACACCAGGCUCACAGCAGCCACUUCCAAAGGCAGGAGAGCGGACAGCGGACAUUUGAGAAGGCCAGAGUAUCGUCACUCUUCCUCCCAAGACUCUGUAUCCAGGAGCUGGAUGAACCUGGUCUAGAUUAUCCUGAAGUCAGCGGUACUGAGGUGAAAUCCCAGACCUGACAUACACUGCGUGUGACCUAGACCAGUCGGACUACCUCUCCAGGCCUCCGGUCCCACAUGCCAGAAUCAAGGUCCAUGCUGCACAGUUGCCAUAGCGAUCAAGUAAAUGGAUGCAGAAAAGCUGCCAUGUGUUGGUCUCCUGGACACGGCACUUCAGAAUCUGCCGGUGCUCAACCCUGGAAAAAAUGGACCGUGUUUCUGCCUGACUGCCCAAACAGAGCUGCUGGCUCGGGGAGGACGCUGCUGCCCUCUUGCCAGGAUAGAUGCUUCUGCUUCCCUCCCCUUAGGAAGAGCAGACAGAGCAAGCUCCAGGAGGCUGCUGGGAGGGGAUCCAGAGCAUGCGUCCAAGAGCCGACCAGGGACAGAGACCAUGAGACCUUCCUGCCCGGAAGUUGUUUCUCCAUUGCUCAGUUGUGCAGAUGAAAACUGAGGAGUGCAUAGUGCAUUCUUUGGGUGUCAUUCCAGGAUGUCCCCACCUCAGCCAUCUCACACCUCCUCCCCACCACAGCCUGCUGGAAACAGGGCACAGAACCUCAGGGAAUGGCGGAACCCCAUUCACCUCCAAACUUUAAUAAACAGCGUUCUGAUAAGGCCAUGUAACCAGCAGUACCAUGAUUCAACGGCUG